rnacentral:rRNA from 1 species
AUUGAACGCUGGCGGCAGGCCUAACACAUGCAAGUCGAACGAGCGGCGGACGGGUGAGUAAUGUAUGGGGACUGCCCGAUAGAGGGGGAUAACUACUGGAAACGGUAGCUAAUACCGCAUAGUAUCGGAUAACCCAUAUGGGAUUAGCUAGUAGGUGAGGUAAUGGCUCAACUAGGCGACGAUGCCUAGCUGGUCUGCGAGGAUGAUCAGCCAAACUGGGACUGAGAGACGGACCCAACUCCUAGGGAGGAAGCGGGGGAGAAUAGUGCACAAUUGGCGCAAGCGUGAUGCAGCCAUGCAGCGAGUAUGAAGAAGGCCCUAGGGUUGUAAAGUACUUUCAGUCUGGAGGCGUUACCGACAGAAGAAGCACCGGCUAACUCCGUGCCAGCAGCCGCGGUAAUAC